ensembl:lncRNA
GUGGUGCUGAGGUGUAAAUGUGUGUGCGCUGUGUAAAUGUGGUGCAGCUGAGUAAAUGUGGUGUAAAUGUGUAAAUGUGGUGCAGCUGAGGUGUAAAUGUGGUGCAGCUAAGGUGUAAAUGUGGUGCAGCUGAGGUGUAAAUGUGGUAGCUGAGGUGUAAAUGUGGUGCAGCUGAGGUGUAAAUGUGGUGUAGCUGAGGUGUAAAUGUGGUGCAGCUGAGGUGUAAAUGUGGUGCAGCUGAGGUGUAAAUGUGUGCAGCUGAGGUGUAAAUGUGGUGCAGCUGAGGUGUAAAUGUGGUGCAGCUGUGGUGUAAAUGUGGUGCAGCUGAGCUGUAAAUGUGGUGUAAAUGUGGUGCAGCUGAGGUGUAAAUGUGGUGCAGCUGUGGUGUAAAUGUGGUGCAGCUGAGGUGUAAAUGUGGUGCAGCUGUGGUGUAAAUGUGGUG